AUCCCGAACACAGCAGUUAAGCCUUCCAGCGGCCAUGGUACUGCCGGGGCAACCCGGUGGGAGAGUAGCUAGUUGCCAGAU
rnacentral:rRNA from 1 species